rnacentral:rRNA from 1 species
CCCUUAGAUGUUCUGGGCCGCACGCGUGCUACGCUGAGUGGAUCAGCGGGUCAGGUUGCGCGAAAGCGUUUCCUAAUCUUUAAAUCCGCUCGUGAUGGGGAUUGACGGUUGCAAUUUUCUGUCAUGAACGAGGAAUACCUUGUAAGCGCGGGUCAUCAUCCCGCGCUGAAUACGUCCCUGCCCUUUGUACACACCGCCCGUCGCUCCUACCGAUUGAAUGUUCCGGUGAGCUCUUCGGACUGCGCGGUCUGCAGUUUCUGCGUUCCGUGCGGAAAGUUGCGCAAACCUUAACAUUUAGAGGAAGGAGAAGUCGUAACA